UGAAGCUACAUAAACUUUCCCGUGACACCCAACCCUAGUUUCGUUAUGUGUGUGUGCAUUGUGUGCGGCUGGUGAGUUAGAGGGGAGGGGUUUGAGUCCAAGAGAGAAAAGGGGAAGGUGAAGGGAGGCUGCCACCGUCAAAAUCUCGCUGGAGGUCGCCAGAAACCGUCAACCGGCAUCGUUAGAGCCCCGUCAUAUAAAUGUAGUCGCUGGAAAACAUGGAGUGGCGGUGGACAAGGUGGGUGUUGUUUCCUGGAAUGUUUGGUUUAGAAGAGAAAGCUCCAAGUUGUUCCGAUUCCGACGAUGCUUCGAGGUGAUUAACUCUUUCCUGCGAACUCAAUGUGAAGGGAUACCGCCAGAUUAUUGGUGGAACUCAUUUUAUCUCUAAUCAAUUGUAUUGGUGGAACUCAUUUUAUUGGUGGAACUCAUUUUAUCUCUAAUCGAUUGUAUGAGGAGUAUAAUAGAAGCAAGUUCAAUUCCAUGAUUGAUUGAUGUAUAUUUUGAGACACUAAAGGAUCAUGAGAAAAAGAAGAAAAUAGUAGAACCGACUGCUACAAAACCCGUAAAGGGUCCCUCACAUGGUAACUUGUAAGUUCUAUUUAGGAAAAAGUAUGGGGUGAAACAAACACGAGGAAAAUUCGGACUUGGUGGUGCAAAAAUGGUAUCAAUAUGGUCAAAGAUGAAUACAAGAGUAUACUACUCAUCAAUGAAGAAUGAAAAUUCCGCUACGAACUCUAGAUGUAGACAUUGAUAGAAACAUUCCCCAUAUUCAUUUACAUGAAAAGAUAGGUGACAUGGAGAAUUAGCAUGGAGUUGAGAUCAAAGUUGUAAUUGAGGGAAACUUGACAGCAUAUGGUUUGGAGAUAUUGGAGCAGAUGCGCAAAAUGGCAGUUAUUACUCCUUAUGCCGAAUUCAAGUUUCGAUUUGUUACAGUUACACCAGAUGAAAAUGGUGUGAAAAAAAGUUAUCCAAGAUUGACAGAGGAAAUGCCUCGAGUUUCUGUAGAAACAAAAUACCAUCCAUCAGCCGUGGAUUUACCAUGAAAAAUAGGUCCUGAAGUCACUUCCAAAACACAAGUCAAACUCUUUGACUCUCCCACAAAUUGCUUGCAUGUAUCGGUUGUUUCAACAUACAAAAUUUGAUGAUCUAGUGGCAAUGAUAGGACUAAUUUGGCGAGAGUAUAUAUAAGGUGCUGCAACCGAACGUGGUUGCAACAUAUAUGGCAAAAAGGCUUUAACGCAGUAGCUUGACGGAAGUUGUAAUUAUAACCAAGAUCCGAGAGCGAACGCUUUAGAGAUGGUGGGGCUGACCUAAUAGCUUCGGCUCAGGAUUCGAGGUUGAGACGUAUUUGAGCAUCCUCUUUCAAAUCCUUUUUUGUGAAGGCAGGUUUCAAAACUAUGAUGUCAGGAUCUGCCGCCGCUGGUAUAUUGCCCCACGAUGAGAGAAGGUGGGAGCCGAAAGAUAAACAGGUGGCAAUUGACGAGUUGAAUAAAUAUUAGACGUAACCAAAGGGCAAAGAGGUUGGGGAUGUGGGGAGUAUGGUGAUAUCGAGUCUGAUGAUGAUGAGAAAAGCUACUGUUGGUAUUGGGAUAUGCUGAUGUUUUUAUGUGAAAAAACAUCAAGGGAUAUUAAUAUAUGGACCAUAUUUGUAAAAAUUUAGACUGUCUGUAAAAUGUUGGUUUUUGUAUACUAUAUAUUUUAAUUUUAUAAUAUUCAAUUAACGCAAGGGUUACAGAACCCUACAAUUUAGUACCAAGGAAAACCCUAAAAGCUUAAAAGAACCCUAAGAAGAGAACUAACAAAGAAAAAACAUGCCAUCGUGGGGCGAUACACUAGCGACAGAUGCUGACACCAUAAAUUUGAAACCUGCUUUCACAAAAAUAGAUUUGAAAGAGGAAGCUCAAAUACGUCUCAACCUGGAAUCCUAAGCUAAAGUUAUUAGGUCAGCUCUGUCAUCUCCAAAGCGUUCUCUCUCAGAUCUUGGUCAUAAUUAUAACUUCCGUCAAGCUACUGUGGUAAAGCCUGAAGACGUCAUAAAGCCAUAAAGCUCUCAAAUAUGAGGUAAUGUCUAUGGGCACAACUACUACUUUAGCAUACUCUCUCGCAGGUCAGUUGAUCACAUCUAUUUUAAGGAUUACAAUCAUAUGUUUAUUAAGGUGAACGUCUAUAAGUAACGCUUUGAUAAUCCAAAAACGUAUCGGAAGGCUAUAAUUAUAUCUUGCAUACUAUCAAUCAUAAGGAUGACUUUAUUAUAAAAUGUUUCAAUGACCAAAACAUGUUUUCUACAUUAAUUCCAAGUUGUUUAAGGCCAUUGUCGAUGCUGUCAUUGAAGAUAUUACUUGUAUUCUCAAUUACACGAAAACUUUCUUGAAUAUAUUUGCUGCUGAUAAACGAGUUGUCAUUGAAAAUCUUAUUUUUUAGGAAAUUGAUCAUACUUUUUAUUAUACAAAAGAAUGUAAAGGGAGGAAAGCGAUCCCCCAUGACAUGAAAAUUUGUUGAAAUUUUGCAUUCUAAAGCAUUUUUCGUACUUUUGGUUGAAAAAAAGAUUGCAUCUUUUUCCAUAACCGUUUCUCUUUUGGCCACAGAAAAAUUAUAUAACCGUUUUCCAUUCAUAAUUUUAAGUGCUAGAGGGAUGUUGCCAUCCAGCUUUUUCUACUAAAGUUGAAAAUGGAAUUAGGGUUAUCUGUUUUUGGCUUUGAUGGACUGUGAUCCAUAUGAAAUUCAGAUAAUGUAUGUAUAUAUGUUUCAGGGUCAAAGAAUUUGUCUUAUAAAAAUGGUCACCUAACCAUAUCAAUGUCAAAUGGUUAGGUAAUAAAACUUCGCAUAUAAGAAAGUUUAAUCUCUCUGAAAAUGUUCGAAUCUAAAUGACAUUGUGUUAUUAAGAUGACUGAAAAUAUGUUAGAAAAUAAAUGUGUGAAUAGUAAGCCUAAAUGGGCUGAAGAAUUGAGGACCAUGUUAGAGACUAAAGAGGAGACAGAAAUUCAGGUUGCGACAUGUUUUGGGAUGAAGUAUUUAACUGAAGUCUACCUACCGAAAAAGCUAUAGGAUUUCGAUUGCGUUUAAAGUUGGAGAUAAGAAGAGAUGUAGGGGGCAUGAUGGUAGUACGUGGAGAAAUGAAAAGAAAAUAACUUUUUUAAUGACUAUUUUUGUUUAAGAGUAGAUAAUUAUUUUAAUGGUUGUUUUUUAAUAUUUAUAACCAAUUACAAUGGUUGAUUAUUGUAAUAUUUAUUAUGAUUGUAACUUGCAAAUCACUCAGGAGGUUAUUUUAUCACGAGUGGUUUUCAAAACUUUUGCAGAAUUAUAUUUUAUAGCAAUCACGUCUGUAAAUGCUAUAAAAAUAUAAGUUUAUAAAUGGUGUAAAAAUUUAUAAACUAAAAGUACAUGAUACAAUUAAUACCAACAAGUAUUGCAUUCAA